CCUACGGGGGGCAGCAGUGGGGAAUAUUGGGCAAUGGGCGCAAGCCUGACCCAGCAACGCCGCGUGAAGGAAGAAGGCUUUCGGGUUGUAAACUUCUUUUCUCAGGGACGAAGAAAGUGACGGUACCUGAGGAAUAAGCCACGGCUAACUACGUGCCAGCAGCCGCGGUAAUACGUAGGUGGCAAGCGUUGUCCGGAUUUACUGGGUGUAAAGGGCGUGCAGCCGGGCCGACAAGUCAGAUGUGAAAUCCGCGGGCUUAACCCGCGAACUGCAUUUGAAACUAUUGGUCUUGAGUACCGGAGAGGUCAUCGGAAUUCCUUGUGUAGCGGUGAAAUGCGUAGAUAUAAGGAAGAACACCAGUGGCGAAGGCGGAUGACUGGACGGCAACUGACGGUGAGGCGCGAAAGCGUGGGGAGCAAACAGGAUUAGAUACCCGUGUAGUC
rnacentral:rRNA from 1 species